rnacentral:rRNA from 1 species
CACGUAGUUAGCCGGGGCUUCUUGGUCAGGUACCGUCUUGCUUCUUCCCUGCUGAUAGAGCUUUACAUACCGGAGUACUCCUUCACUCACGCGGCGUCGCUGCAUCAGGGUUCCCCCCAUUGUGCAAUAUCCCCCACUGCUGCCUCCCGUAGGAGUUUCCGGGCCGUGUCUCAGUCCCAAUGUGGCCGGUCACCCCCUCAGGUCGGCUACCGAUCGUCGCCUUGGUGGGCCGUUACCCCACCAACCAGCUGAUCGGACGCGGGUCCAUCCUAUACCACCGGAGUUUUCCGCACUGUCCCAUGCGGGACUGUGCGCUCAUGCGGUAUUAGCAGCCAUUUCUAGCUGUUAUCCCCCAGUAUAGGGCAGGUUACCCACGCGUUACUCACCCGUCCGCCACUAAGUCAUGACCCAUUCCGCCCGAAGGCCUCAUGGGUCAUGCUUCGUUCGACUUGCAUGUGUUAGGCACGCCGCCAGCGUUCAUCCUGAGCCAGGAUCAAACUCU